rnacentral:rRNA from 1 species
UGGGGGAUAUUGCACAAUGGGGGGAACCCUGAUGCAGCGACGCCGCGUGGGUGAAGAAGCGCCUCGGCGCGUAAAGCCCUGUCAGCAGGGAAGAAAAUGACGGUACCUGAAGAAGAAGCCCCGGNUAACUACGUGCCAGCAGCCGNGGUAAUCACUGUCUAUACGUGUCCUACGGGAGGCAGCAGUGAGGAAUAUU